rnacentral:lncRNA from 10 species
AGAACACAGAGCAGUUAGUGUGAUUUAUUAAUCUGCCAGGAACUUUUCAAGAUCUUAAUUUGAAAUUUAAAAUCUGCUUAGCUGGGUAACAAAAACAUCCGAUGCCAGGAACGGUAAAUAAUUUCCCCACCCAUUGGGCCUUCCAUGUGCCAGCGACUGCUCUUCCUUUCUCUGAGCCGCUUGUGGCAAUUUUCAACUUUUUCUCUCUGCGUUUGGAACAAGUGCCCAGUUCAUCAAAGAAAGCACCAAUGGUGGAUUUUAGGGAAAGCCAAAGAGGGACUCCUGCCAGUGUGUGAUUAGAAUACAAGACGAAGGAUCAAGGCUUCCAAGACUUGACCUCCUAUGUGGAAAUCCUGUUUCCAAAUGGCUUCUGGGGGCACCAAAAGCCAGGCUGGGAGAUGCCCAGGAAGGGAGACAAUCUGAAGCCACCUGAGCCCACAGCCCCACUCUGGAUGAGGAGGCGGCAGAGCCGUGUCUCUCUAUUGCCCAGAGAAGAGCCCCUUCUCCCACGGAAGCUGCUCUGCUCUCCACCCUGUACGCCAGCUCCCAACUGCUCUUCAACAGCCCAGGCGCGGGCACGAGGAGGACGCGUUUGACGGGAGCCCACAUGUCACCCUCCCUCCCAGCCGGGCGAUGCCUCUCCUACAGCUUCCCUCCAACUGACUGUCCUAAUCAGGCUCCAGAGGGGAGGCUGAUUGGAGCUGCGGGCUCGUGGCGAGGCGUCCACUCUCCGCUUGAGGAUGCAGAGCUCCACAGGGCCCAGCUCCAGUAUCCAGGGACCAGCCAGCCCUGUCCCAUCCCAGCAGGGGAAGAGAGGCACUGGCCCCGAAGCUAGAUUUCAGGCCCAAACACAGCCCGAAAGCCCAGGAGAUGGAGGCCAUGCUGAGACAGCAGCGAAGCUCCAAGGUUUGCAGGAAAAUGAUCAUUCCCAGCAAUAACUGGUGCCAGGUUUAGAACCUCUACAAAUGCCAGGCACUUUACAAACACUCUUCGGUCUUCAGAGGACACCUGUGAAGAAGUUACAACCAUCCCAUGUUCCAGAGGAGAAGACAGCGUCCCAGGGAGAAGAAUGCAUUUCACUCUGUUGCCCAUGCUGGAGUGCAGUAGCGUGAUCUCAACUCACCACAACCUCUGCCUCCUGGGUUGAAGUGAUUCUCAUGCCUCAGUCUCCUGAGUAGCUGGGACUACAGGCGCCCAACCAUACCCGGCUAAUUUUUGGAUGGAUUUUUAGCACAGAUGGGGUUUCACCACGUUGGCCAAGCUGGUCUCAAACUCCUGGCCUCAAGUGAUCCUCCCGCCUUGGCCUCCCAAAGUGCUGGGAUUACAGGCGUGAGCCACCACGCCCAGCCUCAAGGUCAUGAUUUAAUAAAAAGUAUU